GAAGCAAGUAACGGUGAAUCGAAGAGCUUUGUCAUAUGUUGAGGCUUUGAGGAGACAAUUAUCGAGGGGUUUGAAUUCCUAGGGACCAGAGAGUUGCCCUUGAGUCCUUCAUUGAAUGAAGUACAUCAUUCGUCAUGGAGGCAAAGAGUUUGUCGCCACUGAAGGGAAGAUCUUCAAUGGUACUCUGGACCUUUCGAGGAAAGGAAGAGGAGGAGAGCCCUGAACCUCAGCGCAUCACCACUGCUAUAGCAGUGGCUCUUGCUGCAGUAUUGGCUGCAUCAAGGGCUGCUUGAAGAGCGGUACAGGAGAUGAUUUGUCCCUCAGAAACUAGGGCUGUAAAUUGUUUAUUUUAUUCUGAAAUGUCGUCAAUAAAGUCCAUGAAUUUA